UAUAUAUAUAUAUAUAUAUAUAUAUAACAUAUAUACUAUAUAUUUAUAUUAGCUCACAUAAUAAAUCAACCAAUCAAACAACCAAUUAUACACACACAUAUACAUAGUUAUUCUUUUAUAAGAAAAUAGCCCUCAAUGUAUAUAUGUGUUUAUACAUAUAACACAUAUAGUCACAUAUAUGUGUCUAUGCAUACAAGCACACAUACAAACUUAGAAAUUUAUUUAGUUUUGUAAAAUCUUUUAUUUUCUUUGAAUUUUUUAUUUCUUUGGAUUUUAGAAUUUGGAUGGUUACAUGCCCCGACCCUUCGAUGGCCCCAGUGGCUUCAGUGUCAUCGGGAGAUCAGCCGGGGUUGGGAGACGCCACAUCAGUGGCUCUCAUCCCCAUGGUCGACCAGCCGACCAAUAACUUGGGGGAACACAUUAACUGGUGUGAUGUUAACGUCGACUAGCACACUUACCUGAGGUAGGGCUUAGAUUUCAGGUGUAAGCCAUUUUUGAUCAUUUUCUGACUUAUUAUGCCUGAGCAUGCUUUUUACUUUUCAGCCAGAAAAUCUCCGUUCGGUAGAGACUACCCCGGCAUUUCAUGCACGCUAGAGCUUGCCACCGUGCCCACUACCACCACAGUCGAUCCCCCCGCCCGAGGUUGUUCUCUCGGGAAUAAUAGAGGGAUCGUCUGCCGUGCUCAUGGCAGCGAACACGCCAUAGCUCGAGGAAAACGUCUCGAGCGCGUCAGAGGAUCAAGCGGCCGUGGCAGCCGAAGAUGUACUGGAGACUGCCAUGGGGUUCCCAUUGGUCCGGAGCUGUUAGAUUAAUCUUGUUGUUUUUUUUUUUGCAUAAGUAGUAUAUUAGUUGUGUUCAUGUGUCAGUGUAGCUUCGAGCAGGCAAGUGUCUAAGUUAGUUUGUGAGAGUGCUGCAUGGUAUUGUGAGCCGAUCGAUAGUGAGUAACAAGUGGAUCGGUAGCCAAAGUUGAGUGCACGCAUGUGUUCUUGGAGUUUGCCUUGCACAGGUUUAAGGCCAGGUGCUUGUCGAGUCGUGGCGCACGUUCAGGAGCAGGAAAAAGGUCAAGUUGUUUGCAUGGACGCAUGCAUUGUCGGUGGACUAAGUACUUGUGAGUUUGCUGUUGGACACGAACGAGUUGUCAGCAUGUAGAUGCAUGCACGCGUUUGUUUCAGUUUUGAUGGUAAAAAAUAGUUUUUUGAUUAUGGAUUAUGAAAAGCUAAAGGAUCUAAAGUUAAGGGUUGUUUGACUACUUAGAUUGUGAGAGGGUUGGAUGACAGCUUUUGUUUUACAAUAUUUGUAAUGCCCUUAGCUUUUUUAGUACAUAUUUCUCUUGUUUAUUCCUUUAUAGCUAUUUUAGAAAUACAAAUUUGCAGGAUAAAAUAGCAAAUAAAAUAUAAUUCAUACCGCAUUGUUUUUUAACCAUCAAGUAGCAACUGAUACAUCAAUCAUACAAAUUUUUUAGUCCAUAAAUUAGGAAAUGUUACAUCAUUCAUAUCCUUGCAUGACAAUCUAGUUUCUCAUAGCAAAUAAAGCAUCACCAAGAUUAUCACAAAAAGUAUUCAUAUGUCCAUCUUCAUCUCCUAAUUCAUUGCCACCACUUCCAUGAGAUGAAGAUCCAUCGACUGUUGAAAUAUAGUUUUCAUUUUGAUCACACAUCUCAAAGUCUUGAUCAUUAAUAGCACUAUCUCGAAUGAAGAUAUGAAGAUCUAUGCAUGCAAUUAUUAUUUUUGUUUGCUUAACCAUAGAAUAACUUGGCAAAUCCAAUAAUAUUAUCCACAUCACCUUCAAAACACCAAAUGAUCGCUCGAUCAUAUUACGGAGAGAUGAAUGCAAAUUAUUAUAAUUUUCUUUUUUACCACUAGGUGAUUAGACUUGUCAAAACUCCUGUAGAUGGUACUUCUCCCCUUUGUAUGGAGUUAGAUAACUCGGUUGAUUUGGAUAGCCCAAGUCAAAGAUAAUAUUUUCCUAACAAAUAACAUUCAACAUGAGGCAUAUAAUUUUUACUAUGUUGUAAAUGAGAUAAUAACGAGAUGAUAUACAACCAUAUCUUGUGGAGGAUGUGGAAACUUGCUGCCAUAUUUGCGUAAAGCAUCAUUGACCAUCCUCAUGUCAUGUACCAAGCCGGGCCAUCUGAUAACAAUGGAAGUGAACCUCAUGUCAAAGUCACAUACGGCCAACACAUUUUGAGUUGAAUAUUCAUGGCGUACCUCAUGUGCAACCGAAUUUGUCGAAGGCACAACAACAGCUAUAUGUGUACCAUCUAAUGCGCCUAUGCAGUUAUUGAAAUGUAGUCAAAAUGAGGAUCUUGAAGCCUAUGAUGCACCAUCUGAACUCUGGGUCCCUAGGUUUUAUAACAUCCGCUGCAAGGAGAUUGACAAUAUCUGACACAUGAAGGAAUUUCCUACUAAUUGUUUCAGUUGACCUCUCAAACUGGUUUGCAACUAGAAUAAAUGAUUGUGGAGCCCCAAUAGUCCAUAAAAAUAUACCUAUACAUUCAAUAGAACUCAUAUGUCUUGUUGACUUCAAGCCAUAAUUUGACACAACAAGUCAUGAAGCCUAUCAAAAAAUGUCCUACUCAUCCGAAACAUGCUAUAGCAAUCUCUAAGAUCAUUCAACCUUUUCAUAACCCAUUAUAUACCUAAGAGAAUAGAUUCCCUCUUCUAAGAUUUAUUUAAGAAUUUGUCACCAUAGUACAUAACAGAAGUACUUGCUAUUCCUCCAUACUAUUUAAGCACAUCCAAUUGACUAUGUGCUAGCUCUAAUAUUUCAUAAUCUCUAUCACUUUCAGUAGAACUCAUCUACAAACAAAUGGAAAGAUAGAUUACACACUGAUAUGUUGGUUCAUGAAGCAAUAAUUUAGCAAAUAUACAAGGUUUAAGCAAAUAUUGCAUAACAGUACCUAGGUUUAGGAAACAGACAAUGUUCAAGCAAAUAUUACAUAAUAGUAACUAGGUUCAUUGAACAAACAAGGUUCAAGCAAAUAUUACAUAAUAGUAACUAGGUUCAUUGAACAAACAAGGUUAAAGCAAAUAUUACAUAACAGUAACUAGGAUCAUUGAACAAACAAGGUCCAAAUAAAUAAUCCUAAUUUGUAUUCUCUUGGCACCACCUCUUCAACCAAUUGAGCCUUGUUUCAUUUUAGGACAAAGUGUUGAAUACAUCAUGAUGUUCCGCUUUGACAAAAAGCUUGCUAGCCAUGAAAUGCUCCUCACUUCCUUCUAUUGCCCCAGACUCCAUCGACAAACUCAUCACUUCCUUAAUGGAUUCGGACCUCAUUUCACCUUGCAGCACCUUGUUGGCAACAACACUAGAGGAUUGAAUAUUAUCCGAUAUACCUUUCAUUAUCUUAACCAUGGGGUUCUUUCUCUUCUUUGGGCUACUAGCACUAUUGGUAGUACCACAUCGCUUUAACAGAUUAGCAAUAUUUCUAGUGCUAGUGUUCCUUUGAGGGCUUGUAGUUGCCAAUUUUUUGGUAUCAAUCGCAUUGUUUGUGUUCCCUCCUACUCUAUCAUCGGGAACACAAGAGGAAAAACCAUCCACUACACUAUGCUCAAGCAUCCUCUCAAGCUCUGAGAGACACUCAGGAGGUUCAUUUUGAAGCUUCUUCCAUCCUCCAUGAUUCUGAAAACCAAAGAAGAUAAUAUCAGGUAACUUAUUUCACAAUAGAAUUAAUUGUAGUAAUGAGUAUAUAAAAGUGAGUAUUUUUGUGGUCUCUUUCCACCAAUUGUCACUUGCGUCCAUCGUUCCUUUGGUACUAUCUUAUCCAAGUCUAGUAGCUUUAUUGAUGGGUAGCCAGAAAGUAUACAAACCCUUCAACGAAUCCCAUCGGUUUUUAAAUUGUGUUUUUGAGUGAUGCUUCCCUGUCCUACCAAAGAACUUAUCAUGCAAGUUCUUGUAUGCUUUGUUAAACAGUACACCAAGAGGCCUAUUCCCAUCAUGUAUUUCUUGCACCAAAUUUCACAAAAGGCCCUGGUGUGAUAAGAAUCCCAAUUUGCCUUAUCCCAAACAAAGUUCUCCAUGUAUUUAUCACAAAAAAAUGUAAUUAGUAAGGAUGUAAUAAUUAAUAGGUAUUAUGUAAUUAGUAAACAAAUUGUAACCAUUUAACUUGUACUCAUCAGCCUUGUAACCGGAUUUCAAAGAUAAACUUUAACGUAUGUACUUUUAAGCAUGUGCUUUCAUACAGCAACAAUGGAGAAAUCUAAAGCGUCCUUUCUUCUGCCUAUUUGCUAAAAAACUAAUCCCAACUAUUCAGCAAAAGUAAAUUAAUCAACUAAUCAGUAGUCCGGUACCGAGAAAUAAAUCAGGAGAUCAAUUCUAAAUUGUAAAACAAAGUGGAGAGUCAACGAUAGAGAACAUAGAGUAGGGAGUGAGAGGGAGGGCUAGCAGCAUAUGCGAAGAGAGAGCAGCUACUGCUCGAUGCAUGAGAGGAUGGGAGAUAGUAGCCGCCGGCCUGCCUGCUGCUGCGCACACGAGGAGGGAGCCCACGGAGAGAGCUGGGUGGAUAGACAAAGCGCGAGGAGGGAGCCUGCAGAGAGAGCUGGGUGGGGAGAUGGAGGUGGAGGUACUUGCAGGUGUCACCACAAAAUUCGAUGGAUAAAGAAGAGGAGAAGGGCGUUGAAGCCCUCAGCGUGGUUGGAGUGAGGAGGUGUGCCAGUCGGACGGGAAGCAUGGUCGGUGAGUUCAGGGGCGAGGAGGCAUGCAGGUUGGCAGGGAGCACACUGGUCUUGCAAAGAGCGCCGGUCUGGGACAAGUGUGCUGGACAGCGGGGAAGCGCGCUAGGCGGGUGGGAAGCGGCGGUAGGGUUUCUUGAGAGGGAGGGAGCAGGUGGGGGCGUAGAGGGGGGAGGGAUUGGUACGAGGUGGUUUAGUGGCAGUUAUGGAUAAUUUACACCAACUUUGAUGUCCAGGUUUGUUUGCCCAUCCCACACAAUCCAACAGAAGUUGGGGAGAAUCGGACUGUAAAUUCUGGCAUAAUUCGACCUCGGAUUGUGGAUUGCAAAAUUGAGCCGUUUGUUUUGGCUAUUGGGUUUUGCUACCAAAAUCCAAAAGCAAAAGAGAAAACAAACAUGGCCUUAGUUUAGGUCUUGGAUGGUCAUGUGUUGUUUAGUUCUUGUGGCUAGUUGUGCAUGUCACAAAAUAGCCAGGAAGUUUAGUUAGUUGCUUCUGUCUUUUUAAAGCAUGUUCUUAGCAUUUGAAAGAUUAAGAGAAAUAAAUGAGAAAAUGCAUAGAUGUGGUGCCACAAAGACUCUGCGCGUGUUCCUCUUCAUUGUGUUUGCGAUUUCCUACAAUUGGUAUUCAGAGCCACGUGAUCCUGAUCCCCAAUGUCGGGCUCUGGCUCCAAGUCACCUUGAUGCUCCACGACAUCACUGCAUUCCAGGAUCCACAACGAUGACGAGAGUGGCCGUGAGCUCGUUGUGCAGCAUGUGAAGGAGGCCGGGGUGACAGUGUGUUACCCUGUGCUCAUGAGCAACAACUACAUCGAGUGGUCACUCCUGAUGAAGGUAAACAUGCAGGCUCAAGGUGUUUGGGAUGCUAUCGAGCCUGGCGGCAUGGAGUACUGGAUCAACAGGAUGGCAUUGUUGGCCAUCCUCCAAGCGGUGCCGUUGGAAAUGUUGGCAACAUUGGCGGUGAAGAACUCUGCAAAGGAGGUGUGGGAGACCGUGCGCACAAUGUGCACAAGCAUUAAGCAUGUGCGCAAGGCAAAGGAGUUCAAGUUGAUCUUCAAUAAGGAAGGCGAAUCAGUGGAUGACUUCACCAUGCAGCUGACGGGCCUCGUCAACAACAUUCAUACCUUUGGCGGCAUGGUGGAAGAUGAGGCGGUGGUCAAGAAAUUCCUUCGUGUGGUUCCCUCCAAGUACACCCAGGUGGUCAUCUCCAUCAAGCAGCUAAUUGAUUUGAAGACACUAUCCGUUGAGGAGCUCACUAGCCAUCUCAAGUCAAUGGAGGAGAGGUAUGAAACUGAUAACAAUGAAACCGAAGCAAGGGGUGGUCGCUUGUUUCUUACAUAGGAAGAAUGAUGAGUGGCAAGAAGAAGAGCACUUUUGACAAGACCAAGGUGCCCUGCUACAAUUGCAAAGAGUAUGGGCACUACUCUCGGAAAAAGAAAUACCAUGAGUCCAAGAAGGAGAAAGAGGCGCUGCUUGCCAUGGUAGAUGCCGAUGAUUAGCUGCUACUUUGAAGCCCUGCAUGGAGAUGCACAAAUAAAACCAACAAGAUUAGGGGGUGAUUGUGAGAUUAAUCUUGUUAUUUUUGCAUUAGUAGUAUGUUAGUUGUGUUCACGUGUUAAUGUAGCUUUGAGCAGGAAAGUGUCUAAGUUAGUUUGGGAGCGUGCUGAAUGGCAUUGUGGUUCGAUCUACAGUGAGUAGCGAGUGGAUCGGCAGCCACCAGUUGAGUGCACGCAUGUUUUAUUGGAGUUAGCCUUGCAUGGGUUGGCGGCCAAGUGCUUGCCGAGCCGUGGUGCACGUUCAGGAGCAGUUAAAGUUCAAGCUGUUUGUAUGGACGCAUGUAUCGUCGGUCGACUGAGUACUUGCGAGUUUGCUGUCGGACGUGAACGAGUUGUUAGCAUGUAGAUGCAUUAGGUCUUGGCUGGUCAUGUGUUGUCCGGUUCUUGUGGCUAGUUGUGCACGUCGUAGAACGGCCAGGAAGAUUAAGAGAAACAAAUGAGAAAAGGCACAGGUGUGGUGCCGCAAAGACUCUGCGUGUGUUCCUCUUCACUGUGUUUGUGAUUUCCUACAGAAGCGACAAAUGAAGAACCCGCUCCCGGCCCACUCGGGUGCCAGACUCCGCCGAUGGGAGUCGAGACUCUUGUCCCGGCGGCCACACCAGCCGUAGAUGCCCAAGAUCAGGAUGUCCUUCAACUUGAAGCCCUCAUCUUCUCGAAGCGCGACCCAAGUCGGGAAAACUUCGACUUGAGAUGGCGGAGGAGAAGGCUCGCUCUUCAUUCCUUGAGCAGGAGCGGCAGCACCUCCAGGAGGUGAUUGAGGCGAGAGGAAACACCUCAAGGAGGAAUUUCUCGAAAUCAUGUCUCGAGGCGGCGUAUGAGGAGAGGCAUCGUCUCGAGGAUAGACUUGCCAAGAAGGCCUGCCGAGAAUAGGAGCUUCUUGGAGAAAAAUAUCACCUCGAGAGGGACAUCACCGUGAAGGAGCUUCUCCACCCGUCCGAGAUGGCCAAAAUGGAACGAAAACUCGCGACCUUUACGACCUGGGUCAAGGAGCUCAAAGAUGAGGUGAAAAUUGUCAGGGAGCAGUCCAACGCCUUCCCGCACCUAAAGACAGCUAUUAACUCUUUGAACGAAUCCCUGAAGAACUUUCAUCUGGAGCUCCCAAGGCCAAUCGACGACAAUGCCGUGGGGUAUGUCCAGAGCAUCUCCUUGCUUGGUGAGAAGUUUUCGCAAGUCGCUUCGCACCCUCCGACACCCCAGCAUCGAGCAGCAGAAGAAGACGGCUCGCUCGUGAGUGCUUCUCGAAUGUCUUGGAUGCCUCAGGAGUCACUACCGCGAGGUCGAUUUGGGGGGUCAUCGCGAGGGGUUUCAACUGCGAGACUUCGGAGAUAGCCGGAUUCAUCCAGGGCAGCCUUCCCACAGCCGCCGCGAUUGUGGACAACUUAGAUUUCUAAGGAAGUCCCGAUCGACUGGUAAAUGAACAUUGUUACCUUUGAUAUUUUUUGUUCUGUAAUAAGUCUUGAACCUUCCUGGUACUUUAUCCUCGAGUAGAUCUGAUCCUGCAAUUA